UUGGUAGGGUAACGGCCUACCAAGGCGACGAUGGGUAGCCGACCUGAGAGGGUGAUCGGCCACACUGGGACUGAGACACGGCCCAGACUCCUACGGGAGGCAGCAGUGGGGAAUAUUGCGCAAUGGGGGGAACCCUGACGCAGCAACGCCGCGUGAGUGAAGAAGGUUUUCGGAUCGUAAAGCUCUGUCAUUGGGGACGAAAAGAUGACGGUACCCAAGAAGGAAGCCCCGGCUAACUACGUGCCAGCAGCCGCGGUAAUACGUAGGGGGCGAGCGUUGUCCGGAAUUACUGGGCGUAAAGGGUGCGUAGGCGGCUUCAGAAGUCAGGUGUGAAAUACCGUGGCUCAACUACGGGGGUGCAUUUGAAACUUUGAAGCUUGAGUGCAGGAGAGGAAAGUGGAAUUCCUAGUGUAGCGGUGAAAUGCGUAGAGAUUAGGAGGAACACCAGUGGCGAAGGCGACUUUCUGGACUGUAACUGACGCUGAUGCACGAAAGCGUGGGUAGCGAACAGGAUUAGAUACCCUGGUAGUCCACGCCGUAAACGAUGGAUACUAGGUGUAGGAGGUAUCGACCCCUUCUGU
rnacentral:rRNA from 1 species